ACAAAAUCUCUGUUGAGCAGCAUUGUUUAUAUUUUAAACAUUGCAAUAGGAAUAUAUAUAUAACA
rnacentral:rRNA from 14 species